rnacentral:ncRNA from 1 species
AAAUUUUAGCGCCUGCCCCAAUUAUUUGGGUGACGAGGAGGAUAGUAAUCGAAAUUGUCGGCGGAUGCUAUCCCGGUUAGUAGCCGUAAAUACACUUACAAAAAAUAAAAUUAAAAUUAUAACAAAAGAGUGUA